GUUUGGUGCCUAGAACUGCGUACGUCCUUGUUCUGAAUGCAGACCUCACGCGGGAGCCUCCGUUCACCUUUCCUUCCUUCUCCUCCACCCGCCCAGCUUGCCUUAGGCUUCCUUCUGGUGCAGUCUCUCAGCCACAAAGAUACAUCUGUUGUAGGCAUCCGUGGCUGAGUCCUCAUGUCCAUCCCGUUCUAGUCCGUCCUACACGCUGCACCAGAGGGAUAUUUCCAAAACGAAAACUUCAUCGUGGUCUUCACCUGCUCACAUCUCUUCUAUGGCUCCCCAUUACUCUGAUGAAAAAAGGCAAACUCUUUAGUCUGGUAUACAGGGCUUGCCAUUCUGCGGGCACUGUGUCUUUACACCGCAUGUCCCUAUGAACGCCCCCCACCAAGCUGUUUAGACAUACCCUCAGUGCCUUUUUACUUUCCCUUUCCUCUCUUCUCCACUUGGUAAACAUUUUUGUUUUAGGAAUCAGUUCAAAAGCUACCAACUUUGUCUUCUAAGUUCUCACGUUGGAGCAUCCAUGGCUUGGAAGAUGUGGCCGUCUGGAUUCUCACGUAUGGCAAGUUCAGGCUGGAGUUGAGUGGCCACUGCUGUUCGUAAGAUGGGGCAUCUGCUCUCCAGUUCACCGUAGUCCCUACACGCCCAAAUGACAGUGCUGCCCUAAGACACAGAUUCAACAAAUGUCUCCUGACCACUCGAGGCCUCUAAGGGAUCAGAGACGAAGAGGUCCCGAUAGUUCCCCUAAAGGACUGUCUCUCCCGCCCCUCUGCCUUUACCGCUCCUUCAGCCUGGAGUCUGCUCAUCUCAAAGUCUGUCUGCCUGAUGAAGACGCCCUCAUAACUCAGCUCAGGCGUGACGUCCUCUGUGAAGCUCUCUCGCAGUCCCCAUGAGCUGGUACUCACCCAGUUCCCUGUAAAGGCUGGAAUCCAUUCUGAUGAGGUGGGCAACCACUGUGCCUGGUCAGUCAGUACCAGUCGUAAAAUAUCUUGAAAAUCCUCUUGGACCUCUCCUGCCCCCUCGCCACGCUGUGGUCCCACCGCACCCUGCGUGUAUCUCCAUCUUUAUUAUCCUGUAUGUUCAUUGUUGGUUUUUCCUCGCCUGUCUCCCCUACCUGACUGUGAGCCCCUGGAAGGCAGGGGUGAGGAUCCAUCAUCUUUGUAGCUAGCCCAGGGCUAGACACUAGAAGGUAUCAUUAAUGGAGAGAGAGGGAGAAGGAGAGAGGAAGAUGGGUGGAAGAUGAAAAAUGUGGGGGAAAAGGGCGCUGGUAUAUUUUUGGCCCAUGUGCUGAUCACCAUGAGGAAGUGGCCACAGGCUAUAAAGCUGUCUUUAUAGACACCUCCCCCAGCCAUCUGCCCCAAAAACUCUGGCACAAGAAAUUUCUGCCUUUCGUAUAAAAAUUUUAGCUCAUAUGCAAAUUAUAUAUAAAUGUUGAGUAUUAUCUGGGUUUUGCAUUUGGAAAGGAAAAAAAAAAACUCUCUUGCUCUUG
rnacentral:lncRNA from 1 species